AGCUGGAUGGUGCAGACGCAAGACUUGCAGACUACUUUGAUGUGAUUUCAGGCACCAGCACUGGUGGCCUCGUGACUGCUAUGCUAGCUGCCCCUAAUGAGCAAAACCGCCCUUUAUUUGCCGCCAAAGACAUUAAUGACUUCUACCUUGAGAACUGCCCUAAAAUCUUUCACCAGGACGGGUAAUAAUCCCGGAUAUGAAUGCCAUAAUAACGAGUUAAAUAUAGUAUAUCAAGUGCUCUAAAACUACAUUUUUUUUCUCCUUCAAAUGUCUAGAUACUAACUGCAUACUCUCUGGCAAUAGGUCUCCAUUGGCUUCUGCCGGAAAACUGAUCAAGAGUUUGAAAGGACCAAAAUACGAUGGCAAAAUUCUGCAUAGCAUUGUCAAGGAAAAAUUGGGAGAUAAACGCCUGCACCAGACCAUGACAAACAUUGUGAUCCCAACUUUUGACAUCAAGCGCCUUCAGCCAACAAUCUUUUCAAGCUAUCAGGUUCGUUAUAUAUACAGACACAACUCUUAAAAUUCUAUGUGUUACUUGAGAAAAGAAUCGUUUCACACUGCAAAAUAUAUGUCCUAACAACACGUACCGCCUAUCCACGGAUGCCCUUUUAUCUGAUAUAUGCAUCGGGACUUCAGCUGCCCCAACUUACCUCCCUGCCCAUUAUUUUGAAACCAAGGACCCGUCAGGCAAAGUCAGAGAGUUCAAUCCGUAAGUUAAAAGAUUUUUUAUUAAAAAAUUUUAUUUUAUUUUAUUAAAUUGAAGUAUUUAAAUCAAUUUUUUUAAUUUUAUACUAAAAAAAUACAAUUUUUUUCUUUGAAGAUAAUAUAUAUAUAAAAAAUGAGACUCGUGUGCAACCAUGCCAGACCUAACCAUGGUUGCGAGAACCAUGUGGUUGUCAUAUUCAAGGUACUUGGGUCUGACGUCUAGAAUUUUCAUAAUUUUCAUGAGUCAAGUAAAAGUAAUGGUUUAGUUGAUGAUCAAAAUACUCAUGUAAAAGUGUUGAAUGAUCUCAAGACAUCUAACUAAUAAUUCCUUGUGGACUUCUGAUAUAUUGUUAAGAAAAAAACCAGACCCACGCGUCUGAGUCUGGCAACCAUACUAGACCCAUGCGUCGUUUUUUGAAAAAUAUAGGAAUUCACUUAUAAUUAUUUUAAAAAUAUAAUUAUUUUGUAUUUUCACCUUUUUUUUAAUAAGAUAUAUUUUUAUAUUUUAUAUUUUUUUCUUCUAUUUUGGGACAUUAGCCACACGCAUCCUUAAAAUUCACUUAUUUUUUUUAUUAAUCUCUAAUUUUAGUGAAGAAAUCAUCUAUAAAAUUGCACAAAUUAAGAUAGUCAAAAGAACAAUAAGUUUUUUUACAUAUACAAUAUUUUUUUCCCUUACAACAUAAUGUAUCAAUUCUAAAGUUCAAAAGUUUUCUCUUAUUAUCAUAUAAUUCAAAUUUUUGUAUAUACUAAUAGUUAUAAUGUAGAAUAAACUCUCAUUGUAACAAACUUUAAUAAUUAGAUCAUAUAACAAUAUCUCAAAUUUAAAAAAACAUGAACCCUUUAAAAAAUUGUCCAACAUUUAGAUGAAAACAUAAAAUUAAUAUUUUUAUCUACAAUGCAUAAAAAAGAUUUAUUUUUGAAGACUUGAAAUAAAUCACUUGGAACUUAAUAUUUUUUUUCAUUUUUUUAUAAAAUAAGUUACACAGAUAAAAAAGAAUUUGUAGUUAAUUUCUACUGUAUAUCAAUAAAAAAUUCUGCUUGAAUGAGACAAUGUUUGUUUUUAAAAUCCAAUCAUACUUUUAAAAAAUUUUAAAUUUUUUGACUCAAACGUGAGUCUGACAAACCCAGAUGUAUGGGUGUGACAUGGUUGUCAAGCCCACACAUAUUAAUCUGACAAUUAUAGUAGACUCAAGCGCCUUAGUUCUCGCAGUUAUGCCAGAUCUAAAAUACGUGAGAAUGACAAACAUGUAUGAUAUGAUAAAUAACUAAUAAAAAAGACAAAUAUAUAUUUUGGUUGUUGAAAAAAAAAAAUAAUUAAUCACCAACAGCAAUUCAAUUAUUAUUUAUUUACAUACAUUAUAUCAUAUAAAAAAACACGACUACACAUCCAAUUAGGCAGUUUAGCAUCCAGUUUUUCUCAUUAUCCUUUCGCUGUCCUCUCACGGAGGCUGGGCCUAACGAAAGAUAUAGCAUUGGCUAAGUUUUGGGGUUAAUGAUGCAUUCCUCAACUAUAAGAGAUUGAUUAAUCAGUUUUCUUUAUCAAUUCACGGAAUCGAUUUGUUUAAUACGUUAAUGACCUUUCAUUAAUAACAUCGAUCUGACAACAAAUAAGUUAAUUGUAUAAUUAAACGAACCAAAUCAGUUUAAUUGUCGUCUUUGUUUGAUUUAUAAAUUUGAAAUCUUCAAUUGUUCUCUAUUACUUAACGUGUCAGCUCAGAAUUGUAUAACAGAAUAAUUGGAUCUAUUCAAAAUUUGACCCCGUCCAAGAAAAUUAUACAAGGUUAAAUUUGGGCGAGUAAAAUCUUUCGACUUAAUUGAAAAUUCCAUGCUUCAUGAAGCACAGAAGUCUAUAAAUAACUCCACACUCCCUUUGGGAAAUUACUAGUUUCAAAACUUAAAUUAGAUUUCAGCACUAGCUAUAUACAUCUCCCGAGACUCUCAGGAAGUUUAAGCUAAACAUCUCUAACUCUUCCGCUUCUAGGCUCUCGAUCAAUAUUAGCUAGCAAUGCCUUUAAAUUACUCCUCAAUCUCUCAUAUCGACACUUUAAGAUCACCCCUUCAACCCCCAACUUUUGGAAACCAAAUCACUAUUCUUAGCAUCGAUGGAGGUGGAAUAAGAGGAAUAAUACCAGGAACUAUCCUUGCCUUUUUAGAGUCCGAGCUUCAGGUAGUCUAGAAAUCGGUCACUUUAAGGACGUAUGUUGCAUGUCAAAUAGACCUGCAAGAUCAUGCAUUUUCUUAUGCCUGUGCUAGCUCAUGAUGAUCUAUAAAAUAGAGUAGAAUAAGAAACUACAGGGAACGAUUCCUUGGUCCACUUGAGGUAUAAAAUAGAAUAGAAUAACAAUAUAUCACACUCGCAUGCAGGAUAAUAGUUUAUUUAUAGCGGUAUAUAAUUUUAAUGUCUUUUUCCAGGUAUAAAAUACUCCGUAAUUUCAUCUCCUAUCACUGACUAGUAUGUUAUGCUAUUCAAAUUGUAGAAGCUGGAUGGUGCAGACGCAAGACUUGCAGACUACUUUGAUGUGAUUUCAGGCACCAGCACUGGUGGCCUCGUGACUGCUAUGCUAGCUGCCCCUAAUGAGCAAAACCGCCCUUUAUUUGCCGCCAAAGACAUUAAUGACUUCUACCUUGAGAACUGCCCUAAAAUCUUUCACCAGGACGGGUAAUAAUCCCGGAUAUGAAUGCCAUAAUAACGAGUUAAAUAU
rnacentral:lncRNA from 1 species